ACCUACGGGGCGCAGCAGUAGGGAAUUUUCGUCAAUGGGCGCAAGCCUGAACGAGCAAUGCCGCGUGAACGAGGAAGGUCUUCGGAUCGUAAAGUUCUGUUGAAGGGGAAAAAGAACGGAGAGAGGAAAUGGUCUCCGACUGAUAUUACCCUUCGAGGAAGUCACGGCUAACUACGUGCCAGCAGCCGCGGUAAUACGUAGGUGGCGAGCGUUAUCCGGAAUGAUUGGGCGUAAAGGGUGCGUAGGCGGCCUGCUAAGUCUGGAGGGAAAGGUACCGGCCCAACCGGUACAGGCUCUGGAAACUG
rnacentral:rRNA from 1 species